rnacentral:rRNA from 1 species
GACGGAGAAUUUGUAGCAAUACGAGUUCUUAGUGGCGAAUGGGUGAGUAACACGUAGGUGACCUGCCCCGAAGUGUGGAAUAACAGUCCGAAAGGAUUGCUAAUACCGCAUGUGGUCCCGGUCUUUAGAAAACCGGGUCUAAAGCAGUAAUGCGCUUCGGGAGGGGCCUGCGGUCCAUCAGCUAGUUGGUAGGGUAACGGCCUACCAAGGCGACGACGGAUAGGGGACCUGAGAGGGUGGCCCCCCACAUUGGCACUGAAACACGGGCCAAACUCCUACGGGAGGCAGCAGUCGGGAAUAUUGGUCAAUGGGCGAAAGCCUGAACCAGCAACGCCGCGUGCACGAUGAAGGCCUUCGGGUCGUAAAGUGCUUUUUAGAGGGAUGAGGAAGGACAGUACCUCUAGAAUAAGUCACGGCUAACUACGUGCCAGCAGCCGCGGUAAAACGUAGGUGACGAGCGUUAUCCGGAAUUACUGGGCGUAAAGCGCGUGCAGGCGGCUUCGCAAGUCGGGCAUGAAAUCUCUCGGCCUAACCGAGAGACGCUGUUCGAUACUGCGGAGCUUGAGGGUAGUAAAAGGUGGCGGAAUUCCGCAUGUAGUGGUGAAAUGCGUAGAGAUGCGGAGGAACACCAGUGGCGAAGGCGGCCACCUAGGCUAUCCCUGACGCUGAAGCGCGAAAGCUAGGGUAGCGAACGGGAUUA